UUUAACAUCUCAGAUGAUCUUGUUAGUUUUGCUAGACUGUCACAAAGCUCAGUCCUGCUGCAGUGAACACACACAUGUACAAUGAUACUUCACUCAGUCAUUCUGAUCUCUGCCUUGGCAUGUGUGAGUUUUGGAGAUGAAAUCACACCAGACAGCACUGAAGAGUCUGCUGCAGAGGGUUCAACUCUUACAUUAUCCUGCAGUUAUUCAUCUGCAUAUUCACUUCUCUGGUACCGUCAGUAUCCCGGAUCAGCUCCUGAAUUUCUUGUGCUUAUAAUGGAGGGUGUGAAAGACACUAAGGCAUCUAAGGUAGAUCCCAGAUUCUCUACUAAGACCAGAAAAGAAAAACAAGCCACAAAAGAGAUCAAACGUGUGGAUCUGAUCAUCUCCUCUGCUGCAGUGUCAGACUCUGCUCUGUAUUACUGUGCUCUGAGGCCCACAGUCACAGGAAACACAAGAACACUGUACAAAAACCUGAAAAGGCAUAACUAAAAUGAUGCCUUUCUAAACAGAUUGAAGCACAUAACAAUCGAAAGAAUCACAUUCUGCCAAUUCAGACACAAAACAAAACUCUGAUGGAACACAUUCAAAGAUCCAUUUAUAUAAUAAAAUAAAAUGUGCAAGGAGAAAAAAAAAAACAGUAUGCAGACUUUAUUUUCUUUGGAGGAAACUACUAAAAUUAAACUUGGUUUUGUAAUGCUUUUUAGGUUACCAUAUGCACCACAUAUUACGCAUAUAUUAUCAAUAUAUGAUCAAGCCUCAUUACAGGAUCAUUAGCUCCUCCUCUUCUAUUUACAAAAUAACAGAUAUCUCAUUUACAGAUUACUCGUUUGUUCAUUUAUUUGUCUAUACAAUAAAAAUGAGUCAAAGCUGGAAUAGGCAUCUACAUAAAAAGGCUUACAUGAGAACAUGUUCCUGAAAAUCACAGCACCCCCACCCUGACUGAAACUUUUAGAGCAGCUAAGAUAGUUGCAUUUCAUAGCGGUGAGUUCAGAUACAGAGAACUUAGAUCAUCUGGUGCAAACCAUGUUCAACAGAAAGGUUUUGUUUGUUACAGAUCGUUCAUUUAUU